GACCUAAAAGAAAUGGACAAACAGACUCCGUCGUUCUCAAUGAGAGGGGGCUGAAACAAAAAAUCGUUUCCUGUUCAUCGUACUGCGCAGACUCAAACUCAUUUUGUGACGUUGGCCGCCCUGAACAUUGCUGUAACUCGUCUGAUAGAUGUUCAUACAGAUAUUUUGCCAUUCGACCUCGACUGACUGCGAUUUCUUGGAUCUUAGUUUACCAGUCAGACCACUACACCUUUGCCAGCACCACCACCCAGCAAGCUUCAUCAACUCCAGCCAUGCCGAGUUUACCAGUCAGACCUACACCUCCGUCAAAUUCGCUCACAACGCUGCCAAUAACACCCCAGCAAGAUUUUUACAGACUUGUUCUGCAGCACUUCCGAACAAUUGAGGAGGAGCUGGGGUAAAGCAGCAGGUGGCUGUGAACACAUCUAUGCUGCAGAAGCUAGGUGGUGGUGGUGUGGCGGAUCUUGGCCUCGUGGAGGACAACAACAGGCCAUUGAGUAAUGUUGAGGACCUGGACGAGUUGGAGAGGCGGCUUGCAUCCGAUGCGGACCUGAAAAAUCAACUGGUAUGUCUGUUUUUUAAGUGUUUUGCCAUGUGAUUAUUGUAGGCAUAAAAGUCCUA